rnacentral:rRNA from 1 species
CUAUCAGCUUUAGACGGUAGGGUAUUGGCCUACCGUGGCUAUGACGGGUAACGGGGAAUUAGGGUUCGAUUCCGGAGAGGGAGCCUGAGAAACGGCUACCACAUCUAAGGAAGGCAGCAGGCGCGCAAAUUACCCAAUCCUAAUACAGGGAGGUAGUGACAAGAAAUAACAAUACAGAGCCUUACGGUUUUGUAAUUGGAAUGAGUUAAGUAUAAACCCCUUAACAAGUAUCAAUUGGAGGGCAAGUCUGGUGCCAGCAGCCGCGGUAAUUCCAGCUCCAAUAGCGUAUAUUAAAGUUGUUGCAGUUAAAAAGCUCGUAGUUAAUUUUCUGUUAAUUUUUAUAUACAAUGCUACGGUAUUUAUAUAAUAUUAACAUAAUUCAUAUUACUUUUUUAGUAUAUGAAACUUUACUUUGAGAAAAUUAGAGUGCUUAAAGCAGGCUAUUGCCUUGAAUACUCCAGCAUGGAAUAAUAUUAAGGAUUUUUAUUCUUCUUAUUGGUUCUAGAAUAAAAAUAAUGAUUAAUAGGGACAGUUGGGGGCAUUUGUAUUUAACAGUCAGAGGUGAAAUUCUUAG